GUGGGUAUAGUUCAAUGGUAGAGUGCAUGCUUAGCAUGCACAAGGUCCAGGGUUCUAUCCCUAGUACCUCCA
rnacentral:tRNA from 1 species